GAUGAACGCUAGCGGGAGGCUUAACACAUGCAAGUCGUGGGGCAGCACGGGGUAGCAAUACUCUGGUGGCGACCGGCGCACGGGUGAGUAACGCGUAUGCAACCUGCCCUGUACAGGGGGAUAGCCCGGAGAAAUUCGGAUUAAUACCCCAUAAUGAUAUUAAGAGGCAUCUUUUUAUAUUUAAAGCUACGGCGGUACUGGAUGGGCGUGCGUAAGAUUAGCUAGUUGGUAGGGUAACGGCCUACCAAGGCUCCGAUCUUUAGGGGUCCUGAGAGGGUGAUCCCCCACACUGGUACUGAGACACGGACCAGACUCCUACGGGAGGCAGCAGUGAGGAAUAUUGGUCAAUGGGCGCAAGCCUGAACCAGCCAUCCCGCGUGAAGGAAGAAUGCGCUAUGCGUUGUAAACUUCUUUUCCGGAGGAAUAAAAUCUUGUACGUGUACAGGACUGAAGGUACUCCGGGAAUAAGCAUCGGCUAACUCCGUGCCAGCAGCCGCAGUAACAC
rnacentral:rRNA from 1 species